CACACACGGAUAUCGGGUUCUGUCGCGAGGCGGCGGCUCCCACCGGUGGCGGUUCGACCGCUUCUAUCCGUGGAGGUUAAACCGGUCAAAAGGAUAGAU
rnacentral:sRNA from 1 species